UGAGUAAUCUGCCCUUCUCUUUGGAAUAAGCGUUGGAAACGACGUCUAAUGCCGAAUACGACCUCCUUUCGCAUGAUCGGAGGUGGAAAGCUCCGGCGGAGAAGGAUGAGCUCGCGGCCUAUCAGCUAGUUGGUGUGGGUAAUGGCCCACCAAGGCGACGACGGGUAGCCGGCCUGAGAGGGUGACCGGCCACACUGGGACUGAGACACGGCCCAGACUCCGUACGGGAGCAGCAGG
rnacentral:rRNA from 1 species